AUUGAACGCUGGCGGCAUGCCUUACACAUGCAAGUCGAACGGCAGCACGGGUGCUUGCACCUGGUGGCGAGUGGCGCACGGGUGAGUAAUACAUCGGAACAUGUCCUGUAGUGGGGGAUAGCCCGUCGAAAGCCGGAUUAAUACCGCAUACGAUCUACGGAUGACAGCGGGGGACCUUCGGGCCUCGCGCUAUAGGGUUGGCCGAUGGCUGAUUAGCUAGUUGGUGGGGUAAAGGCCUACCAAGGCGACGAUCAGUAGCUGGUCUGAGAGGACGACCAGCCACACUGGGACUGAGACACGGCCCAGACUCCUACGGGAGGCAGCAGUGGGGAAUUUUGGACAAUGGGCGAAAGCCUGAUCCAGCAAUGCCGCGUGUGUGAAGAAGGCCUUCGGGUUGUAAAGCACUUUUGUCCGGAAAGAAAUCCUUGGCCCUAAUACGGGCGGGGGAUGACGGUACCGGAAGAAUAAGCACCGGCUAACUACGUG
rnacentral:rRNA from 1 species